GAAGACAACUAAAUGGAUUCAGGAUAUAUUCUAGAGAUAAUACAGAAAAUCACCUCUAUUUCAUAAUGAGACUACUGAGACAAGUUAUGUGGAAAACUAUUCUGCUUAGCAAACCCCACUUUGAUGCUCUCUCUUCUGUAGAUCUAGAGAUAACGAGUCCUAACUCUUUGCCAAGGAUAUGGCAAAGACUCUGAUGGAAAAGGCAGUAAUGUGUACACAAAGGUGAACAUAAAUAAAUGUGUGUAUGAUAAACGCUGGGAAUGGACAUAGAAAAACGGGUAUGCAAUUGGACAGAGACGACGGGAGACAGAAGGAAAGAUACUUGCUCAGCUGUAUCUAAGUAAGUUCAUAGGAGUUUCAUGGUCUGAAAAAUCUGUGACAGUGGAAUUUCUACUAAGAAGCUUAAAAAAGUUUCACCUUCUCCUUGGACACUUCAGAAUAAGGCCUUCUUAGAAUAUAAUGCAUUAUAUCACAAAUAUACUUUUAUAUAAAAUAUUUGGGACCAAAACAAGAGUAAAGAACCAGGAUCCGAAAGGGUGAAUGCCUACUAAAUAUCUUUGAUUAUCUAAAGCUGUUUAAAAGCUAUUAGAUUGGCACCUGGAACCCCAAAAUAUCCACUUUUCACUGGGAAGGAGUGGCUGUGCCUCUUCAAUCAUCCCCUAAAUGCAAAGAAGUUUGACCCCCACGCAAUGGAUAAAAGUCACCC
rnacentral:lncRNA from 1 species